ACACCCCACAUUCAAAAUCUUUUUUUUGAAUGGAACUGAGAGUUUUUACGGUUUGAUUUUUUUGAAGUCAAGCUGUUCUCUUUAAAGAUAUUAGGCCUGAAAUUUUAGUUUUUUUGUUGCCUGAACUUUUUUUUUAAUAUAAAGGAAAAGCUCUGGUCAAUUUUUAAAAAAGCUUAUUAUGUUGGGGCCUCCCAAAUAAAUCUCUCUUAA
rnacentral:misc_RNA from 1 species